rnacentral:rRNA from 1 species
CCUACGGGUGGCAGCAGUGAGGAAUAUUGGUCAAUGGACGAGAGUCUGAACCAGCCAAGUAGCGUGAAGGAUGACUGCCCUAUGGGUUGUAAACUUCUUUUAUAAAGGAAUAAAACGAGGCACGUGUGCCUUUUUGCAUGUACUUUAUGAAUAAGGAUCGUCUAACUACGUGCCAGCAGCCGCGGUAAUACGGAGGAUCCGAGCGUUAUCCGGAUUUAUUGGGUUUAAAGGGGACGUAGAUGGGUUGUAAAGUUAGGUGUGAAAUUUUGGGGCUCAACCGUAAAAUUGCAAUUGAUACUGGCAGUCUUGAGUACAGUUGAGGUAGGCGGAAUUCGUGGUGUAGCGGUGAAAUGCUUAGAUAUCACGAAGAACCCCGAUUGCGAAGGCAGCUUACUAAACUGUGACUGACAUUGAUGCUCGAAAGUGUGGGUAUCAAACAGGAUUAGAUACCCGAGUAGU